AUAAUGACAUCAGUCAGGGGAAAGAAGGAGCAUAAGGACAGAAGGCAAUGACAAUCAUGACAGAGCAAGCUGUAGAAUUAUAAUCACGGCUGGGCACUGAGUUGGCUGGACUGUCUUCUCUGGGCUGAAGUCAACAGGGAGCAGGACUGUAUACUCUUGCAUUUGAGGAUUUAACCUACUGGUCAGAACUUUGACGUUAUCCAGGAUGGCAUGGGUCUAGCCAUAAAACCACGUUGCCAUUAAAAUAAAAGCCACAGAUAUGGGAAUGUGGUCAUGAUGGCUGAGGAUAGAGGUGGAACAGGUGCCAUG
rnacentral:lncRNA from 1 species